rnacentral:ncRNA from 1 species
CAAUCUGAGAGUUUGAUCCUGGCUCAGAACGAACGCUGGCGGCAGGCCUAACACAUGCAAGUCGAACGCCCCGCAAGGGGAGUGGCAGACGGGUGAGUAACGCGUGGGAACCUUCCCAGUGGUACGGAAUAGCCCAGGGAAACUUGGAGUAAUACCGUAUAAUACCCGA